UACGUAGGGUGCGAGCGUUGUCCGGAAUUAUUGGGCGUAAAGAGCUUGUAGGCGGUCUGUCGCGUCUGCUGUGAAAAUCCGGGGCUCAACCCCGGACUUGCAGUGGGUACGGGCAGACUAGAGUGUGGUAGGGGAGACUGGAAUUCCUGGUGUAGCGGUGAAAUGCGCAGAUAUCAGAAGGAACACCGAUGGCGAAGGCAGGUCUCUGGGCCACUACUGACGCUGAGAAGCGAAAGCAUGGGGAGCGAACAGG
rnacentral:rRNA from 1 species